rnacentral:rRNA from 1 species
CCCUUAGAUGCUCUGGGCCGCACGCGCGCUACACUGGUCGAUGCAACGAGUUUCUUUCCUUGGCCGACAGGCCUGGGCAAUCUUUGAACAUCGAUCGUGAUCGGGAUAGAUUCUUGUAAUUUUUGAUCUUAAACGAGGAAUUCCUAGUAAACGCAAGUCAUCAGCUUGCAUUGAUUACGUCCCUGCCCUUUGUACACACCGCCCGUCGCACCUACCGAUUGAAUGGUCCGGUGAAAUCUCCGGACUGGCGUGAGUCGGAGCAAUCUGACAAACACCGGAAAGUUGAUUAAACCUUACCAUUUAGAGGAAGGUGAAGUCGUNACA